AGGGAUCAUUACUGAGUUACCGCUCUACAACCCUUUGUGAACAUACCUCAACUGUUGCUUCGGCGGGCAGGAGGACAAACCCCCCUCGGGGGGCUGUCCCCCUCCCGGCCGCGCCCUCACGGGCGUGGCGCCCGCCGGAGGAUACCAAACUCUAUUUUAACGACGUUUCUUCUGAGUGGCACAAGCAAAUAAUUAAAACUUUUAACAACGGAUCUCUUGGUUCUGGCAUCGAUGAAGAACGCAGCGAAAUGCGAUAAGUAAUGUGAAUUGCAGAAUUCAGUGAAUCAUCGAAUCUUUGAACGCACAUUGCGCCCGCCAGCAUUCUGGCGGGCAUGCCUGUUCGAGCGUCAUUUCAACCCUCAAGCCCAGCUUGGUGUUGAGGCCCUACGGUUUGACGUAGGCCCUUAAAGGUAGUGGCGGACCCUCCCGGAGCCUCCAUUGCGUAGUAACUUAACGUCUCGCACUGGGAUCCGGAGGGACUCUUGCCGUAAAGCCCCCAAAACUUUUACAGGUUGACCUCGGAUCAGGUAGGAAUACCCGCUGAACUUAA
rnacentral:rRNA from 1 species